rnacentral:lncRNA from 1 species
UGUUGCCAUAAUUCCAAUCCAAUUGCACACUAUUGAAACAAAAAAUUAAAAGAAAACGGUUCUAAUUAAAGCGAAAUAUUUAACUGUUCAAUGAUUGCAUCUUUCUUAUCUCCUCUUCUCCGCUUCUUCCUCCACCAUAUUUCACUCAUCAGAAUUUGGAUCUGGCGGAUGUUGUUUGAGGCACAAUAAAAUUGGGAUUCUUAUUUUUUUU